UGGUGGGGAGGGUCAGCAGGGCAGCCAAGAGGAGAUAAGGGAGCCACUCAGUGCAGGGAAGGUAGUGGGUGACGGUAGUGUGUGGAGUGGCAGGAGAGAAAUAGGAAGUGUGUUUAGAAUGUGCUUGUGAGGUGAGUAAAGGAGUUUUGAUGGAGAGAGGCAAAAGAUGUAUGAGGUGUAUGUGUGUGAGUGAGUGAAUCAUAUGGAGUUGAAUGUUUUUCAGCUUAAUGUUUUAGAGUGAAUUGGUGUUUUAGUGUUUUAGGGAAUGAAUUGGUGUUUCUAAAUAUUAAAUGUGAAUUUUUUAAUUUAAAACUUCAGAUUUACAGGAAUACUUAGUAUAUUUUUGUAUACUCUUAAUGUCCUAUGUAAAAGAACAAUUAUUAGCAGGUGGGCUCCCUUGAGAUGCCAGAAGGGUGUCCAUUGCUCUUCACUAACCAUGGCCCUGUACUUCACUGUUGGCUCCUCAUGGGCACUACAAUGACACUAACUGGCUCUUGGAAAUGUAUCUCUCUUGGAAAUGAAUGUAUUAUUUGUAAGAAUUAUGUGGAGUAUUUACCACUCUCCCUUUCCACUCUGUGUAAAAUCUGAUCAUGUCAUCACAUUCAGGAGAAUUUCCUCUAAAAUACACCACUGAUUUUAUUUACAGUGUCACAAUAAUUCCAUGAAAAAGCAGCAUUGAACAAGAAAAGUAUAAACAUCUUCAACUCAAUCAAGAUUCUGUCCAGUGAUCAAGAAAACCAAGUACCACACAGAAUAAGGAGGUGCAGGAAGAAGUAAAGCUUGCUGUGUGGAGAGACCAGCAUUGGAUCUAAGCAGGUCAGGUGUGCAAAUCCAGAGCCCAGGUUGUAGGAGAGGGAGAGACGGCCAUCCUGCAGCCCCAGGGUGAGGGAGUCCCCAGGAGGUGGCCCCAGCAGACCCCCCAGGCUGCUGGUGAUGUGGCCCUCCCCCGCCCACAUCAGCAGGCCAUCCGGCGCCUCUGACCGGAACCGCAGCCACAGAAUCUCAGGGUCGUCAUAUUUGAGGAAGGAUCGUCCACUGAAGCUUGGUGUGGCUGCCUGGGUCACCACGCGGCUCUGGCAGUGCGCGUCCUUGAAGCCGAGGGGACACCGGCAGGAGUAGGAGGCACCAUGAGGGUC